CAGAACGAACGCUGGCGGCGUGCUUAACACAUGCAAGUCGAACGCGAAAGGGACUUCGGUCCUGAGUAAAGUGGCGCACGGGUGAGUAACGCGUAGAUAACCUGUCUUCAUGUCUGGAAUAAUACGCCGAAAGGGGUACUAAUACCGGAUAUUCUUGCUUUUCAUAAGUUAUGCAAGCAAAGGUGGCCUCUGCAUAUGCUACUGCAUGAAGAGGGGUCUGCGUACCAUUAGCUAGUAGGUGGGGUAAUGGCCUACCUAGGCGACGAUGGUUAGCGGGUCUGAGAGGAUGAUCCGCCACACUGGCACUGGAACACGGGCCAGACUCCUACGGGAGGCAGCAGUGAGGAAUAUUGCGCAAUAGGGGAAACCCUGACGCAGCGACGCCGCGUGAGUGAGGAAGGCCUUCGGGUCGUAAAGCUCUGUCAAGAGGAAAGAAGUGUACAAUGGCUAAUACCUGUUGUAUUUGACGGUACCUCUAAAGGAAGCACCGGCUAACUCCGUGCCAGCCGCCGC
rnacentral:rRNA from 1 species